rnacentral:rRNA from 1 species
UACGUAGGAGGCGAGCGUUGUCCGGAAUUACUGGGCGUAAAGCGCACGUAGGCGGAUUUGUAAGUCAGGGGUGAAAUCCCGGGGCUCAACCUCGGAAUUGCCUUUGAUACUGUAGGUCUCGAGUCCGGAAGAGGUGGGUGGAAUUCCUAGUGUAGAGGUGAAAUUCGUAGAUAUUAGGAAGAACACCGGUGGCGAAGGCGGCCCACUGGUCCGGUACUGACGCUGAGGUGCGAAAGCGUGGGGAGCAAACAGG